GUCUGGUUUUACUUCUUGCUCGAUUGAAUUGCAGGACAGCAGCUCAUUGAUGGUUGCCCCCCGAAAAGCGACUCUCUACUGGCCGAAACAUUUCUUGCAAAGUUCCGAACCACAAUUCAACGCACCGUGACAGGCUGCUCCCGCUCGUUGGUACAAGUCUUCAGAGCACCGAGACAGCAAUGUCAGAUGGCGUGGAAAUCGUAAAACAGGCUUCGGAAUCAAGGAGUCUACAUUUCUACGCAAACGGAGCAUUUUCAGUCGAUGCAUUAGAUAUUGAGAAGAACGCUACCGAAACGUGUGGCCCAGAUGAUCUUGAAUUACACCAUGCUACGACGCCUACCAAGAGCGUGCUUUCCAUUAUUCUCCAGAGCCGAUGGAUGAUGCCGUUGGUGUACACCCACAUUUGGUUGUCGGCGGCCUUCUCACUCAUGCAACCUUAUUUUCCACCUUUGGCUGACGCUGCUGGUCUGGAAGCUUGGAAGUACGGGUUUUUCUUUUCUGCCUUUAAAGUGGCAAUGUUGCUGGGAUCUGCGAUCAGCGAACGAAUUAUGGCCUUAGCAUCACCACGGAAGUGUUAUUUAUCCGGACAGAUUGGUUUCUUACUGUUCACUACUCUUUUAGGGU